rnacentral:rRNA from 1 species
GAUGAACGCUGGCGGCGUGCCUAAUACAUGCAAGUCGAGCGAACAGACGAGGAGCUUGCUCCUCUGACGUUAGCGGCGGACGGGCGAGUAACACGUGGAUAACCUACCUAUAAGACUGGGAUAACUUCGGGAAACCGGAGCUAAUACCGGAUAAUAUAUUGAACCGCACGGUUCAAUAGUGAAAGACGGUUUUGCUGUCACUUAUAGAUGGAUCCGCGCCGCAUUAGCUAGUUGGUAAGGUAACGGCUUACCAAGGCAACGAUGCGUAGCCGACCUGAGAGGGUGAUCGGCCACACUGGAACUGGGACACGGUCCAGACUCCUACGGGAGGCAGCAGUAGGGAAUCUUCCGCAAUGGGCGAAAGCCUGACGGAGCAACGCCGCGUGAGUGAUGAAGGUCUUCGGAUCGUAAAACUCUGUUAUUAGGGAAGAACAAAUGUGUAAGUAACUAUGCACGUCUUGACGGUACCUAAUCAGAAAGCCACGGCUAACUACGUG